ACAUGCUCUGAUUCGCAAUUUAAAAAGAUCCUUCUAGCUGGAGCAUAAAUCCUGAAACAGAUCCACUUUUCUCUUCAGUAUGUUUGGAACCACAUUAAAAUAGAACCAUAAUCAAGCAACCCAAUCUUUCAGUUUUUCUCCUAGUGAAUAUCUGGAAAACAGGUGCAGAAAUGGAUCAUUUGAGACACCAUAGAAAUCUGGUUAAUCCUGCCUGCCUGCUUUCCUU
ensembl:misc_RNA